rnacentral:lncRNA from 1 species
GCCGCCAAACAACUUGGGCACACAAAACGUUGAGUGUGGCCGCGGCGCAGCGCGCGCCAACGAGCCCGGGCCGGCGGGAGCAGAGGAAGGGCGGGGCGCCCGGCGGGAACGGGGAGGGACCCCCCCCCCGCGGCACAGGUGCGAGCGCGGCGGCCCCACUCACUCACUCGAUGAAGUAGCUGGCGCCCUCCUCCGUGAAGCCCUCCUCCCAGCCGCGGGGCAGGUCUGCGGAAACGCCAGAAAAGUCGGGUCAAACUUGGGCCGCCGCUGCGCGCGCCCCCCACCCGCCGGCCCGGCGCCCACCUGAGCGGAUCAUGUGGCCCGAGUUGACGGGCUCCCCGGUGCGCGGAUGCAGCCAGGUCGUGCAGCGGAGCUGGUCACUGCGGGCAGAGAGGUGCACCUGUUAGCGCCGCCACAGCCCGCCGGGUGCCCGCCCGGCCCCCGCCCCCGCGCCCCCACCCGCGUCCCCGCGUCCCCGGGUCCUCGCGCCGCACUUGAUGAAGAAGACGCGGCCAUCCCGGCACACCCCGUAGGACCAAUGCUCAGUUCCAACAUGUCAGCUGGAUGAGAGAAGGGGCUUUGAUCUACCUCAUACACUGCCUGGUCUCCAAUGCCUGGAACAGCACCUGACUCAUAUGGAGUUUCACUCUUGUUGCCCAAGCUAGAGUGCAGUGGCACAAUCUCGGCUCAAUGCAACCUCCGCCUCCAGAGUUCAAGCAAUUCUCCUGCCUCAGCCUCCCGAGUAGCUGGGAUUACAGAACUCUCAGAGGAUCCAGAACUACAGCCGGUCCUCGCUGGGCUGUUCCUGUCCAUGUGCCUGGUCAUGGUGCUGGGGAACCUGCUCAUCAUCCUGGCCGUCAGCCCUGACUCCCACCUCCACACCCCCAUGUACUUCUUCCUCUCCAACCUGUCCUUGCCUGACAUCGGUUUCACCUCCACCAUGGUCCCCAAGAUGAUUGUGGACAUCCAAUCUCACAGCAGUCAUCUCCUAUGCGGGCUGCCUGACUCAGAUGUCUCUUUUUGCCAUUUUUGGAGGCAUGGAAGAAAGACAUGCUCCUGAGUGUGAUGGCCCUAUGACCGGUUUGUAGCCAUCUGUCACCCUCUAUAUUAUUCAGCCAUCAUGAACCCAUGUUUCUGUGGCUUUCUAGUUCUGUUGUCUUGUUGUCUCAGUCUUUUAGACUCCCAGCUGCACAAUUUGAUUGCCUUGCAAAUUACCUGCUUCAAGGAUGUGGAAAUUCCUAAUUUCUUCUGUGACCCUUCUCAACUCCCCCACCAUGCGUGUUGUGACACCUUCACCAAUAACAUAGUCAUGUAUUUCCCUGCUGC